UAUGUGGUUAAUGAUGCUCACUUUUUUCCCCGUCUUAUCGACUUUGGUGAAAAAAACCCUGAAAACUAAGCCAGUUUUGUCUGAAACCACAUG